GUUUUGUUCAGAAAACAUACAUUAACAUUGGAUCGAUACAGACAAGGUUAGCAUAGCUCCUUUCACAAGGAUAACAUACAUAAUUAUGACGCAUUCCAUUUUUAA